rnacentral:tRNA from 1 species
CGUUGAUCUCGGUGAGCUGGCGCACCGGCUUGGCCAUCAGCGAGGCCGCGGUGAUGAAGGCGACGAACUCGCCGGGGGUCAUGUCCGCCAUCAGCGCC